CGAAGUUUCCCUCAGGAUAGCUGGUGCAUUUAAAUGUUAUAUAAAAUAAUCUUAUCUGGUAAAGCGAAUGAUUAGAGGCCUUAGGGUCGAAACAAUCUUAACCUAUUCUCAAACUUUAAAUGGGUAAGAACCCUUAACUUUCUUGAUAUGAAGUUUAAGGUUAUGAUAUAUUGUGCCCAGUGGGCCACUUUUGGUAAGCAGAACUGACGCUGUGGGAUGAACCAAACGUAAUGUUACGGUGCCCAAAUUAACAACUCAUACAGAAACCAUGAAAGGCGUUGGUUGCUUAAAACAGCAGGACGGUGAUCAUGGAAGUCGAAAUCCGCUAAGGAGUGUGUAACAACUCACCUGCCGAAGCAACUAGCCCUUAAAAUGGAUGGCGCUUAAGUUGUAUACCUAUACAUUACCGCUAAAGUAGAUGAUUUAUAUUAUUUAUAAUAUAAAUUUUGAAACUUUAGUGAGUAGGAAGGUACAAUGGUGUGCUUCGAAGUAUUUGGCGUAAGCCUGCAUGGAGCCGCCAUUGGUACAGAUCUUGGUGGUAGUAGCAAAUAAUCGAAUGAGACCUUGGAGGACUGAAGUGGAGAAGGGUUUCGUGUGAACAGUGGUUGAUCACGAGUUAGUCGUCCUAAGUUCAAGGCGAAAGCCGAAAAUUUUCAAGUUUUAAAAAUGUCAAAUGAAAUAAUAAAUAAUAAAACACUUGAAUAAUAUUGAACGAAAGGGAAUACGGUUCCAAUUCCGUAACCUGUUGAGUAUCCGUUUGUUAUUAAAUAUGGGCCUCGUGCUCAUCCUGGCAACAGAAACGACCAUAAAGAAGCCGUCGAGAGGUAUCGGAAGAGUUUCUUUUCUGUUUUAUAGCCGUACUACCAUGGAAGUCUUUCGCAGAGAGAUAUGGUAGAUGGGCUAGAAGAGCAUGACAUAUACUGUUGUGUCGAUAUUUUCUCCUCGGACCUUGAAAAUUUAUGGUGGGGAUACGCAAACUUUUCAACAGGCCGUACCAAUAUCCGCAGCUGGUCUCCAAGGUGAAGAGUCUCUAGUCGAUAGAAUAAUGUAGGUAAGGGAAGUCGGCAAAUUAGAUCCGUAACUUCGGGAUAAGGAUUGGCUCUGAAGAGUGAGAUAGUCGGGCUUGAUUGGGAAACAAUAACAUGGUUUAUGUGCUCGUUCUGGGUAAAUAGAGUUUCUAUCAUUUAUGAUAGUUAUUUGUUCCCCGGAUAGUUAGUUACGUAGCCAAUUGUGGAACUUUCUUGCUAAAAUUUUUAAGAAUACUAAUAAUAAUCGAGUAUUAUCGCUCUGUCCACGGCGAUUAUCGAACGUGUACACCUCGCUGAAUCUGUUGACGACUCCGGCUCGGCUUGCGAGAAUCCAAUCCUCUAGCUGCUCACCCCGUCUGUAGUUCGGCUGGCCACGAUAGCUAUCGUAGCGUUUACAGAACCACAUCGGGGAUACAGCGUUCGCAUCUAGGCAGAGGAUGACCGGAGUACUGCUCGCCAGUAGCAGUAUGGCAUCCAUGUACUGGAAAGCGCCCAUCAACUCAACAUGUGCAUGGCAGUACAGUGAGGUCAGGUAAAUAGAGCCAAAUUUACCCGUGACCCUCACGCAUACUCCAGCCUCGGUGAUUAGCGACUCGACCGGUAGGCAGAUGGCAUCUGGAUCGUCGAUGAUGACGGCAGAGUUCCUUCGGUGUCCCUCGAAGAUUCGACUACCGAAAAUUUUCAUCCCGGCUGGGAAUCCAAUUAUUCGGCCAUCCAAGUCUGUGUGGGGCUUCUGCAGCAACGCAAAGGAGUGGCCGAAACCACGCAUACGCACACCGAGAGCAUUAAAUGCCCCGAUGGCCUUCCAUUAAAGCGACAAUCUGUCGCCUCUGUUGCACCACACUGGGCCACCUUAUGGUCGUAGCCUGCGCAUCUGUGGCAUACGUGGGUCCUUACGAUCCAGCGGAACCUGUAGCUGAACCACUGAAUGUAGAACCUCUCACGGCCUUCCAGCAAGGACGCAAUCGAGUCGUCUACCUCGAUGGAGACGUUCACUCUCUUGCCUUCUUGCGCGACCCAUGGCUUUGACACCAUGUGCACUGCCUUUUUAAAGGACU
rnacentral:ncRNA from 1 species